rnacentral:lncRNA from 1 species
UAUAUACUAUAUAGAUGCGAUAAGUUACAAAUCUAAUAACAGUUUGGUUAUUGAUGUUAAAAAUGCGAAAAUUAUUAGUAUUUAGUUAGCAAGGAAAUGGAAUUAACAGAGAUGAAUUGGUACUCGAAGUGUGAGGGUGCACAUACACGGUUAACAAAAUAAAUACAAAACAAAAUGGAAUGGAAUUUGAAACUCUUUAUAGGCGCUGCAACUAAAAUCACAAUACAAACUAAAUAAUCAAAUUUCACAUUAAUGUAAAAAACUCAACUGAAGCAAAUACGGAAGCGACAACUGCAUAAUCAAAGUUAAGAAAACGGUGGUAAAUCGGUUUAUGAAAAAGGAAACAAUCGGAAUUAAUUGUUUGAAUGAGUAACUAGUAACCCUAGGGUGCUAAUCUAUAUUCGAUUGCAGUGAUUAAUUUACCUAGGGAUUAGUCGGAUUGGAUAGGGAAAGAUAAACACUAAACACGAAUUCACAGAAAAGAUUCAGCAAUUCAAAGUUUUUCAACACUAAGCACGAAUUCACAGAAUGAAUGAUAAAUUGAAAAGGAAUGAAAAUACCUUGAGCAAAUGUAGCACGCGUGA